rnacentral:rRNA from 1 species
GACGAACGCUGGCGGCGUGCCUAAUACAUGCAAGUAGAACGCUGAAGGAGGAGCUUGCUUCUCUGGAUGAGUUGCGCACGGGUGAGUAACGCGUAGGUAACCUGCCUGGUAGCGGGGGAUAACUAUUGGAAACGAUAGCUAAUACCGCAUAAGAGUAGAUGUUGCAUGACAUUUGCUUAAAAGGUGCAAUUGCAUCACUACCAGAUGGACCUGCGUUGUAUUAGUUGGUUGGUGGGGUAACGGCUCACCAAGGCGACGAUACAUAGCCGACCUGGGAGGGUGAUCGGGCACACUGGGACUGAGACACGGCCCAGACUCCUACGGGAGGCAGCAGUAGGGAAUCUUCGGCAAUGGACGGAAGGCUGACCGAGCAACGCCGCGUGAGUGAAGAAGGUUUUCGGAUCGUAAAGCUCUGUUGUAAGAGAAGAACGAGUGUGAGAGUGGAAAGUUCACACUGUGACGGUAUCUGACCAGAAAGGGACGGCUAACUACGUG